rnacentral:lncRNA from 1 species
AGAUCACUAUCCGCCGUUUCAUCAAAAACAACCCCCCCGAUUCCUGAUCUCCUUCAAGAAAAAAGAAGAAGCAAACAGAAACAAGCCUAGGAGACCUAAGAUAGAGACAGAAUCCAUCGUUGUUGACCAUAAUACACGGACCCCUCCCAUGUCAUUCAUCUUCUUCAGCAGCCAUUAACAAGAGAGAAGCCAACCAUCUUCUCCACACCCAUCACCUAUACACACACCAGCCACCUCCGCCAGCCACUCUACUCACCGGAAAAAGACCAGCUCCUAGCCGUCACCGACCACCCCAAGACCAUCGUCCCUCUCCACACAUAAAUGCCCAGCAGCAGACGCCCAUCUCUACUCCUUCUUCCUCCACGAAAAUCAGUUCAAAGGUCCCCUAGACCCAGCCAAAAUAACCUCCAAAGCCCAGACGAAAAUCAGUACCAAGCAGUCCCAAAAACCACUAUCAAAACCCGGUUGAGGUUCGAGUUCCGUGCAGAGGUCGUCGGAUUAUCCUGAUAUUGUUUCCCAUUGUACUGAUGGACCGUAUGCGAUUGUGUUCGAUUCGAAGAAGGAGCUUCAUCAUUAUCUCUGUGAUCAUUCUUUUCUGAUUGAUGUUGAAACUAAGGUAAUUUAUUGCCUAUAUGAUGGAUUAUCUGAUAUGUAUUUGUUUUUUUUUUGGUUUAUGAUAGUGUUAUCUACUAUGUUUCUUUAUUUUGAUUUUGUUGGAAAUGAUAUUUCUAAUCUCGAGUUUUGUUCCUUGUUUGAGAAGUCGAAACAUGUGAAUUUCUUUGUAUGGAAUAUUCCCGAUGAAGUGUAGCAGUGUGCUAUUGCUUUCUUUCAUAAGAAUCAUGUAAACAAGAAUUUUAGUGCUAGAGUAUUUAUUUUGUUUAGGGGUUUGAUUUUAUUAUAAUUUUUGUUAAUUCAAUGUAUGCCAAUAACUAGAACUUCUAGUUCGUUUACCUUUUCAAUUCCUCGGGAUUGCUCUAAAUUUUUUCAUUAAUUUGCUUCUUUUUUUGUUCUGUUAUUUGACAUGAAGAUACAUUAGAAAGAUGUGAUUUUGUUUGCGUGAUAUGAUUACGGUAUCUAAAAUAAAUAUUCGUAGAAAAGCCUUUAGGCGCGUUUAAAAUGCAAUUGUGAUGGUGUACACGUUCGCGUGAUAUAAUCACGAUUCUAAAACCAAAUCGGAGUAUGCGUUCGCGCAACUUUGACCAAACUUUCUUAAUAAUGAAAGUGUUAUUAAUAGACCAUUAAUUUAAUUUAGUUCAUAUAGUUCGAGGCGUGCCAUCCACAAUUUAAUAAUUCAUGGCCCUCGUAUUAAUCUUAUGACUUAGAUAUAAAAAUGACAAGUGUUCGUAGUUGCUUUAGGCCCGUUUAAUGUAUCGUUGUGAUUGUGGACACGUUCGCGUGACAUGUUACGAUUUCUAAAAAAACAAAACCAGAGUAUGCAUUUGCACAACUUCGGCCAAAUUUUCCUAAUAUUAAUAAAGCGUUAUUAAUUGUGGACAUGUUUGCGUGACAUAAUUUUUGACGCACCAAACAAAUGGGUACAUGUGUGCGUGACCUGUUUAAAGAUAAUUUCUUAAUUAAAAGGAGGGGAUGCACAUAGGUUCUAAAAUGAUUAGUUAAACAACUUAAUAAGCCAAAUAUGAUCAAAGCAACCGUGCUAAAACCACGAAACCCAGGAAUGCCUAACACCUUCUCCCGGGUUAACAGAAUUUCUUACCUGGAUUUCUGUAUUUGUAGAACGUAAAUAAGAAUUAAUUUCCUCGAUUCGGGAUUUUAAACCGGUGACUUGGGACACCAUAAGUUAUCCCAAGUGGCGACUCUGAAUUUUAAAUAAAAUAAUCAUGUUUCGAUUGUCACUUAAAUUGGAAAAAACUCCCUUACUCCCUCUCGGGGGUAGGAAAAAGGAGGUGUGAUAGUGGACGAUUGGGAUUAUCUGGGAGAUGAGGGUUGAUAUGUGGGUGGUGGUUCUUGGUACGUGGGUGGAGGUAUUUGAUAUGUAGGUGGAGGUGUUUGAUAUGUAAGUGGAGAUUUUGGGACUUGAGCCACCAUUACUGCCCCAACAUCUCUCUUAUUUGAUAUACCGCCUGAUUGUAAUGCCUUGUUUGUGGCUUGUAAUGCCUCAAAGUUUGUUAUCAUCGCACUCUUGAUGCCUUCUUUGAUUCUUUCCCCAUGUUUGAUGAUAUCAGAGAAUUUAUGAUUUUCAAUAACCAUCAACCUUUCAUAAUAUUGUGGAUCAUGUGCUCUGACGAAGAACUUGUUCAUCUGUUCCUCAUCCAAAGAUGGUCUGACCUUGGCUGCUUCUGACCUCCAACGGGUGGCAUACUCGCGGAAAGUGUCGGUGGGAUUCUUCUUAAGGUUUUGAAUGUAGAAAACAUCUAGUGCAUUUUCUGUGUUGAACCUGAAUCGGUCCAUGAAAUCAGACGCCAUACUCACCCAGUUGGACCAUUUCUUAGGAUCCUGGCUGAUGUACUAGGACAAAGCAUCUCCCGUAAGACUUCUCAGAAAGAGUUUCAUUCGGAUCCUUUCAUCCUUUCCGACCCCAACAAGCUUGUCAUAAUAGGUCCUCAGAUGAACCCUAAGAUCACCUGUACCGUCAAACAUCUCGAACUUAGUAGGUUUGUAUCCCUCUGGAAGUUCUACAUCUGGCUGUAUGCAUAGGUCUUCAUAAUUCAAACCUUCUAUCCCUUUACCUCCUUCGACACCCUGAACUCUACUUGUCAACUUCUUGAGUUCCUCAGCCAUGUUCUUGAUGAGCAGGUCCUUCUCAGCGGAUUCUGGUGUAUAGGAAGUUAGUUGGAUAGAGUGAGGUAUGGUUUCCAUGUAUAUAAGGUUGUUUUAGUGAGUUCCAGAUGCCUGAGUGUAGUGGUGGUCAUUGGUUAAGUUUUGAGGAUCAGGAAUGGGUUGUGGUGUGUUUUGGGGAGUGUGAUAAAUGGCGGUUGGUGGGUAUUGGAUUGGUUGAUGGUGGUGUUAUGGUGGAGUUGGUAUCGGUAAGGGAUUGAGAUUUUGAGGUGGGGUUGCGUAUUGAUGCGGUGCAGGAGGGUUUUAUGGAUGUUGGUUUGGUGUGUUUUGGGGAGGUGCUGGGUUCUUUGUGUUUUGAUGGUUGAUGUCGUGGACAUUCAGGGUGAGGGAUAGGUUUGCCAAGUUGUGGACCUGCUCAAGAUCUCCCUGUAACUCUAGUAUCUUUUGUUACAACCUCAAGACUAGUCAUUUGGUGCCGGAGUACUCCGACCGUCUGAAGUUUCUGCAUUUUCCACAUUCUCCUUUCGAAUACCACUUAAGUCAUCCAUUUUAGCUUUCCCUUUGCUCUUUGUGUUGCUUGGAGGAGGAGGAGGUGGAGAACCUCUAGAUUUGGUGUGAUACGCCGAUGAUGCCAGUAUGAGCGAACCAACCUUAGGGUAUGGGAAUAAAGAAUAAUGAAAAACAAAAUGUAAACAAGUCAGUAAGGGUUCUGAAACGUUUGCAGUAUUUAAACACAUUUUGCAUGAAUGUAAAUUCGCAUCCUAAUUUGGGAACCUCGUUGUGCCCGAGGUAGGCCUAGAGACAAAUAAAUUUGGAGAAUUUUAGUGCCAAUAACUGCCUCAUUUCAUUAAUGUAAAAAUAAACGACCCAAAACAAAACUAAAUAAGAUAAUGUUGCUAGUGGCACUUGGCCUUAUUACAUUCAAAAGUAAAGCAAGUAAAUCUAAUCUACUUGGUCCCAGAAGGACCCUCUCCAGACCGGAUGCUGUUGUCGAUCAAAUCUCCUAGCUCGUGCAGGUUCAGCAGUAGGAAUGUCCUUGCCAGAUGCCCUUCUUCAUUUUUUCAGUGUUUUGACAAUCGGUGACCCUCUAUCUUAUCUUUCCCUCUAAUUUUAUCAAAUUGUACUCCAGAUAUUCCAACCUCUCCCUGGAUUUAACAGCUUUUUCUUUCCACUCGUUAAUCAUCUCUAUGUCAGCCUUAUGAUGCGCCAUAUGCUCGGCAUCAGACUCUCAAACUCUUUUCCGCAGCCUGUUGUACUUCACCUCUGCUUCGGUGAAUUCAUCUAUGAACCUGUUUCUUGGGCCAACUCUUGGCUCAAAGACUCCUAACAGAUUAUCAUCCAACCACGAGGGGUAAAAGAAUGAGUGGCCUACAUGGUAUCUGUCCGGCUCAAUAGUAUCAUUCUCCACAAUAAUCUUCAAAGUCCAAAUAUGUUGCGCUUCAUUAUUAUAUGGGAUGGCAUCACCAUGGAAAUCGGCUCUGAAGUGGCUCAUCUUAGCAACCCGUGGUAUGACUUGUCUCCUGCCUGCCUGUCUCGUAACUCUAAGUGGAGCAUAAAUAUAUAUCCCUCUUAACCCGAUCAACACCAAAUGCGGGACAUCUCUAGAUAUUAUGUUGAACUCGUCAGUGGGGAACCACUCGAACAUCCACUGAACCUGGUCUUCAGUCAUCUUGUUGAAAAACUGCACCCAUCCUACAACAUCCUUAGGUUGAUCGAACAUGUCCGGAAUGUAGGUCAUUCACUUAGGGUGAUGGAAGGUUAUGUGAUCAUUCCACGGUCUUCAUGGAAACUCUUGGCGAUAUUGGCCCCUUUGGAGAUGUUCUAACAUCCACACUUGUAACAGCAAGUUGCAGCCCUCAAAGAAUCCGAACCCCUUUUGACAGCGUUCUACGGCAUGGUAUAUGUCUGCAACGAUCAUAGGGAUAAUAGUAUAUGUCUGCCCCUCUAUCCCGUCCAUUAGAGUUUUGGCCACCAUAGACAACCUAGUAUGGAUUCUAUCCCCUUGGAUUGGGAAUACCAGCAUGCCCAAGAAGCACACAAUGAACACGAAGACCCUACGAUAGACCCAGCCCAAAGAAGUGGUUGAGAACUCAUCAUCAAAAAUACGGUAAGAGUUGUUGUGACCGUAUCUUUCAUGAAGGAAAUCAAAAGGUAUGUAGGAGUUUUUCAGGCACUCCAAAUCAUCAUUUUUCUUCAGCCCCAUCAUCUUAAGCAACCUUCAAGUGGUGCAAUUUUCAGGUGCUAGCAGGACAGGGCUAUCCCAAGGCAACCCAGCAAAUCCCCCUAUUUCUUCUAGAAGGGGAGUUAUUUCUAUGUCUCCAAAACGGAACACAACCCUUUCCUUAUCCCAAAAUAGAGUGGCAGCCUCGAUUAGCAUCUUGUUUGGUUGAAGAUCCAAUAGUGAUAGUAAAUUACUCAAGACUCUUUUCACAUGAUUUUGGUCACUUGAGGGAAGAUCUCUCCACCAAUCUAUCAAAAGUGGAGGAAUACUACCGACCAUACCGAAUCUAGGGACUUCGUGCCUCAUUUUCUACAAAACAAGAGAGAGUUAGGUCAUUUCCCCCUCUAGGUUCAUCUAUUUAUACAGUAAUGAUUAGCAAAUUGGCAUUUAUUUCUCCAAAUUAAUGCACACAAUCGUGGUUACGUCAGUUGGGAUUGUGGAAAACCCGAUGAACUUUUGAACGAGGCUUGUCUUAAAGGGUUAUUAUGCGGACAACAUAUUAACCCGACUAGGUUUGACCAUGAUGCAUGCACAACUAAUCAGAGUAAGGCUGCUAUAGAGGCCUAGACUGGGACCCUCAAGCGGAAAACUUGAGGGGGAAAGGCACGGAACCGUCGAACGCACCGCUGAUCGACUAGUUUUACCGUAAAUACGCCUUUCCGAAUUUAAAGGUUGAUAUAUAAGAAGAGCGCAAACACUCAUCAAGUGUUUCUAUAGGAUUGAUUAUGCACAAGUGGAAUAUGAUGUUGAGCAUGAUUUAUGCAGCAAUAAAUAGCAUGUUGUCAAGUAUUUGCACGUAAAAAAUGAUAAAUGCAGUAUUUAAAUAAUUAAAAGAUAGUUACAAAAAAAGAAAACAAAGAGACAAGUCGGUUUCAGGAAAAUAAAGAAAUCAUAAAUGCUUGAAAAUAGACAGUUAAAUUCAAAUAAGGGGAAAUGGUACGUGGGAUAGAUCAUGCUUGGACUAAUUCACAAAAAUAACUUCGUUAUAGUAAGAGCCUAAAAUAUCCCCAACAGAGUCGCCAUGCUGUCGCACCCCCUUUUUUCCCUUUACGGGGAAGUCCGGGUUUCGACAUUCAUGGGGGAACAACUCGUUUCCUUUUGGGAACUAGGUAUUUGAAGAGUCCCCACCUAACGGAUUAUGGUGCGUUACGAAACCUAGAGCGAUUAACUCUUGUAACUAGUUUGCAUUACCAGUGAUUAGGGUAAGGGCUCAAAAUAACCUUGAGGAGAAGGUGUUAGGCAUCCCUUGCUGUCCACAAUGGUGGGUCUCGGCCGAACUUAAACUAUAUGAAUUAAUCAAUCAACAAGUAAGCAAGUAUUUGCAAAUAAAGUAGCUUUCCCCAUCUAAAUGCAUAUAUAAUUAAGGAAGUUCAGAUAAUGAAGGUAAAGAGGUUUGGAAAGCUUACACAUGUAUAUGUAAAGAAAAGGAAGUUUAGAGAAUUUAAACACAUAAGGGAAUUGGGAAAGGGAAGUCCUAAUUUAAUUAGCCUACAGGAUCAUACCCAUGCAAUGCCCGGUAAUCACUCCUCAAUGAGAGGGGCUAUACGUGACAUUAGUGCGCAUGUCAUCAUAUCCUUUUACUACCCAUUACCCUCCCCUUAGCGGUUAUAUAAGCGAGUUUAAUUAAUGACCUCUAAGGGUGCUGCUACCCGUCCCUUCCUUAUGGUCCUGGAGGAAUUUAGGACCUCUAAAUCUGGACAGUUAUAGACAACCUAUGGUUUUUAAAGGUUAAAAAUCUAGGAAACAAGAAAACAACAUGUAGGACAAGCAAAUAGGGACAAACAGUUAGAAGGCUCAUAUUUACCUCUGCACGUAUAUAGGCGAACAAACAGCACGUCUAAAACACAGAUUGUAAAGAAGCUCAAAAAUCCUAAGAACAUGAUAUCUAGAUGAAUGUUACAGAUUCAGGAUAUGCAUAAAGAAAGUGGCAGAAUCCUAACAAGUUUGCCUACUGGUUUUACAGCUUGUUAAGCCUGGAUGAUUUCACAUAUAAACAGAACUGGUUUCAUAGUUACUUAACGUCCUAAGGCUUGCCUAAGUGUGUAUAUGCAGUCACAAUUCUGGGAAACAUUUUGAAGUUCUUCAUCCUAUAGGCAUGCUUUCUAGUGACAUUUAAGAAGUCACUGCAUGGUGUUCCCGUUUUAGCACUUAAUGCACACGGUAAUACCCUAUGGACAUGAGUUCUAUCUCUAAUGAAUGAAACUGUUAUUAGUUUUGUUAGACACGCAUACUAACUGAGAAAGUAUGACCACCAAUUAAACCUACAUGCAUGAUUUCUAAAGAGACGGAUUUGAAUAUAUGUUGUAAUGAAAGUUGAACCUUAGUUAUUUUAUUCCCUAUAGGCAUGACGUUUAAUCAUGUAAAGCAAAGCAGGAAGAACUUAAUUCACCCAAAGCAAACCCUAUAGGCAGGUUAUCUAACAAAACACAUUUGAACCAAAGUAAAUCUUAUAGGCAUGUUAUCUACCCAGCUUUACCCACAGUACCAUAUAACUACCCUCCCUUUUCACUAGUCACCCCAAUAUCUAUUUACAAUUAAUUAUUACAGACCAAUAAUUGAAUAAAAAUUCAUAAAUAGAAUAUAAAUUAAGCUAUAGGGAGACUGAAGUAGGCCCAAAGCAAAUCCUGGUGUACCAGGCCUCCAGUAGUCUCACAUGCCCAAGGUUUCAUUGCCAAUUUCAUGUCCAGGUGUGUCAGAGUUUCCUAAGGACCUCAAGGAUCCUGGGCAGUGCUCACACCCAGACUUUCUCAAAUAAGGACUGAUUAUGUGCAGUAUGGAAGAGCCAUCCCUGGUAUGCCAGAGUUCAGAGAGAUCUCAAGGAUCUCUAAGCAGUACACAUAUCAGGGGGGCAUGACUUAAUAAUCUAAGAGUAAGUGAGAGUGCAUAAUUUGAAAAGGGUUUUGGUAAACAACAUAGAGAGGACUCUUAGAGGUGAAAAGAUUUUCUGAAAACCAGUACUAAUUUGGUGGUAAAAUAUCUUGAGGAAAGUAUGAAAACACUUUGAAAUCAAAACACAAAUCACAGAACAACCAUAUUCAGAAACAUUUGGCAAGCAGGUUCCACACAUGGAGAGAGGGGUUGGGGACACAUAGAGCACACCUUAGUGUAUAAUGGAGCAUAGAAGUAAACAUAUGUACAGAAUUACUAAUUUAGUUACAAGGGUAGGUGAUUGAGACAUGGAGCAAAGAUGUUGAGAACACAUAAGCCUCAAACAAACAACUAUAGAGACUAGAUGACUUAGUAAAGUAGAGUAGGAAAUGACUUAAAUGAACAGACUAGGCAAAACACCACACAAGCAUUUAUAAUGUGGGCAUACUAAUCACACACUGAAUAAAACAAGAUUUUAGACAUGCUAGAUAAACAGUAGACAUGUAAGCAUAGUUGAGACAUGCUAAUCACAUAUUGAACAAGGAAGCAGUAGGCAUGCUAGAUAACAGUAGACAGGCAAGUAGAGUUGAGACAUGCUAAUCACAUAUUGAACCAGACAAUUUAGGCAUGCUGGAUAAACAGUAAACAUGAGCAGGAAUGAACUCAUAACUGAUGAACUAAGGCAGUAAUGAAACACAUAGGGUUUAGAUUCUAAAAUUUAAUCAGAGGCAUACCAGUUAAGGGAAAGAGAACACAAGAUGUAAGACAGGUGUUGUGCAGUUUCUAGCCUUGGUUUACAACCGACAAGACUAAUGAAUAUCACAAGUAACAGAAAAAAUAGAGAGCUUUUUAGAGUGUAAGAGUAACGGUGAACUAAUGUUCGUCUUAAACUGAGAAUAGAGAAGAGUAUAUAUAGCAGUUUAGGAGCGGAGCGGAAUAAGGUAAAAUAAAUCAAAACUCAGCAAUCAGGGAAAUUACAAGAUCAAUCACACACGCAAUCAGCGUAGUCUUCCUUUAAUUAAGGAUAAUUACUCAACGGUUAAAGGACAGGAGUCACUUAAGGAAAUAAAAUCAAAUCAAACCUAAGUAAAGAGGUAGAAAACAAGAGUUUAAUUAAGGAAAUAAUCGUGAUGAAUCAGUAACAUUACAGGCAAUAAGGUAAUAAGAAUAAUUAAAGUCGUAAAUAAGGGAAUGAAUCACGAAUCAACACAUAAUUUUUAACCAAGCAAAUCAGUAAAUCAAAAAUCCAAAAUAGUACUGAUUAAGGAGAGGAAAAAUAUCAGUUUCCACAAAUAGAUGAGUAGGCUAAAUAAAACUUCAUAAACAUACAUAAAUUAGCCAAGAGAUCGACUCAGAAACCCUAGUAGAGAUGAACUAGGGCAAAAGUCACAAGAUACUGAAUUAGACUAAGAAAAAUCAUGGAAGUCAAAGCACAAAUAUAAACAAUGUAACAAGUAACACGGCGAGACUCAGAAUCAAAGCAAAAUGUCGAAAAAGGUUGGGGUUUCAAUAUAAACUAGUGAGGGUUGAAGAAAACUCUACGAAAUUAGUCAAAAACACAUGAAAAUAGAAGAUUAAAUACUUAAAGUCAGUAAAACAUUUUAAAGAAAAACGGUUUUCAGGAAACCUUAGUUUAAGAAAAUGGAAAGCCACUCGUAAAACCAGAAGAUUUUCAUAAAAAACAAAGUGAAGUGAGUUCGAUUCAUCUCAGAUCUGGACAAAUCUGAGAAGAUCAAAGGAUAAAAAAUUAGGGUUUUUUUAGAAAGGCAACAGAGACGAGCUUAGACUUAGGAAACCGUGGAUUCAAGACGAAAAAUGAGAAAGAUCUUACUCAAGGUCAAGCCAAACAGCCUGAAACGUGCAAGAAAACCCCAAGGUGUAAACAGACCGCCUAGGUCCCUUGAGGAUCUCCUUAAGGAUCCAAAAAAUGGAGACACCAUAGCAAGCAGGAGGCCAUUAGAGGCCUGAGGUGGUAAAGAGCCCCCAUAAGAGGGCAGUAGAUGAGUGACGGUGCCUGAAGAUUAGGGUUUAGGUAGAGAGCAGUUGAGAGAGGAGGGAAUAGAUGACGGCGGGGAAGGGGUGGGAAAUGAUUAGGUUAGAAAGGGGUAUAUGGGUUUAAUUAAGGUAAGGGGAGAUCUGGACCGUUGAUCAAAAUGAUCAACGGCCAAGAUAGGCCGGGUAUUGGGUCGAGUAAGCUUAAAUUGGGUUAGGGUCAGAUGGGAUUUAGGCCUGGUUAGAUUUUGGGCUAAUGUGGGAUUAAAAAUUGUACUGUCUAAUUGGCUGGGUACAAAUGAAUGGGGCUAUUUGUUAAAUACAUAUUUAAUCGCUAAAAGAGUUUUUAAAAAUACUUAAUACAUUAUAAAAAUGAUUUCCAUGCCUGGAAAUGUUUUAAAAUAGUUACUUAAUAUUUUAAAAAUAUAAAAGGUUGUUUUCUGGUAAAAUAAUGUAAUAAUGCGUGCGUGGGCUAUAAUUGCAACCUAAAAAUACAAAAGUGGCUAUUUGUGCAAUAAUUGAAACUUAGUAUAAAUGUGAAUGAGAAAAUUAAGCCACAAAAAAUUAUUAUAAAACUAUUUGUGAUGCAAUCAAUGAUUGUUUUAUAAAUAAAAUGUUGGGAUAAAUUAAUAAAAAUAUUUUAAAAAUACAGAAAUUGUAUGAAAAAUACUACAAUUGAUGCCAAGGCAUAGUUUUAAAACUAUUAUGGGGAAAAAUUGGGUAUCAACAUCGGGUGGCUUGCUUCAGCGGUUAGAUAUCCCAGAGUAGAAGUGGAAGCGAAUCAUCAUAGAUUUUGUAGUCAGACUCCCACGGACUUUGAAGAAAUUCGAUGCUAUUUGGGUGAUUGUGGAUCGGCUGACCAAGUCCGCGCACUUCAUUCCUGUGUUCACUACCUAUUCUUCAGAGCGGUUAGCAGAUAUUUAUAUCCAGGAGAUUAUUCGCUUGCAUGGUGUCCCAGUUUCCAUCAUUUCAGAUAGAGGUACUCAGUUUACAUAGCAGUUUUGGAGAGCCGUGCAGUGAGAGUUGGGUACUCAGGUUGAGUUGAGCACAGUUUUUCACCCUCAGAAGGACGGGCAGUCCGAGCGUACUAUUCAGAUAUUGGAGGACAUAUUGCGCACUUGUGUCAUUGAUUUUGGGGGUUCAUGGGAUCAGUUUCUACCACUCGUAGAGUUCACUUAUAACAAUAGUUAUCUGUCGAGUAUUCAGAUGGCUCCAUAUGAGGCUUUAUAUGGGAGAUGGUUUAGAUAUCCAUUUGGUUGGUUUGAGCCGGGUGAGGCUAGGCUUUUGGGUACAGACAUGGUACAUGAUGCUUUGGACAAAGUGAAGGUGAUUCAGGAGCGGCUUCGUACAGCGCAGUCAAAACAAAAGAGUUAUGCGGAUAGGAAGGUUCGUGAUGUGUCUUACAUGGUUAGGGAGAAAGUUCUACUGAAGGUUUCACCCAUGAAGGGAGUUAUGAGAUUUGGGAAGAAGGGUAAAUUGAGUCCUCGGUUCAUUGGGCCUUUUGAGGUGCUUUAGAGGAUUAGGGAGGUGGCUUAUGAUCUUGCUUUACCACCUAGCUUGUCGAGUGUGCAUCCGGUAUUUCAUGUUUUUAUGCUCUGAAAGUAUAUUGGUGAUCCGUCUCAUGUUUUGGAUUUCAGCACGGUGCAGUUA